CGGGCGGGCGCAGCCGCUCCCCGCACCAGCGGCGGGGCAGCGCAGCUGGCAUGGUGCUGGUGGUAGCUCGCCGCGCCCGCGUUGCACGGAGGAAGCCGGAGCGGAGCCGCGAUGGAGAUGUUGCUGCCGCCCGUAUGUACCAAACUUUGCCAUCAGAAGCCCUUGGAUCUGAAAGAAGAUAACACUGAAAUUCACUGUCCUAUUACAGUAAAUCCAUGGCACAUGAAGAAAGCUUUUAAAGUUAUGAAUGAAUUAAGAAGUCAGAACUUGCUGUGUGAUGUGACGAUAGUAGCUGAAGACAUGGAAAUUGCAGCACAUAGAGUUGUGUUAGCCGCCUGCAGCCCCUACUUCCAUGCCAUGUUUACAGGUGAGAUGAGUGAAAGCCGAGCAAAAAAAGUUCGAAUAAAAGAAGUUGAUGGCUGGACUCUAAGGAUGCUUAUUGAUUAUAUUUACACUGCUGAAAUUCAAGUUACAGAAGAAAAUGUGCAGGUACUGCUCCCAGCAGCUGGUCUCUUGCAACUGCAGGAUGUGAAAAGAACUUGCUGUGAAUUUUUGGAAUCUCAGCUUCAUCCUAUCAACUGCCUGGGGAUUCGUGCUUUUGCUGACAUGCAUGCAUGCACAGAUCUCCUGAGCAAGGCCAACACAUAUGCAGAGCAGCACUUUUCCGAUGUUGUACUUAGUGAAGAAUACCUUAAUCUUGGUGUAGAGCAGGUGUGCAGUCUGAUAUCCAGUGACAAACUCACAAUUGCCUCAGAGGAGAAGGUAUUUGAAGCAGUGAUAGCCUGGGUAAACCAUGACAAAGAUGUAAGGCAGGAGUUAAUGGCACGUCUGAUGGAGCACGUUCGGCUGCCUUUGCUUUCCCGCGAGUAUUUGGUUCAGAGAGUUGAAGAGGAAAUAUUGGUUAAGAACAGCAGUGCUUGUAAAGAUUACCUCAUUGAAGCUAUGAAAUAUCACUUGCUACCAACUGAGCAACGGGCACUGAUGAAAAGCACACGGACAAAACUGAGGACACCUGCUAGCCUUCCAAAAUUGAUGAUGGUAGUUGGGGGACAGGCACCAAAGGCAAUUCGCAGUGUUGAAUGCUAUGAUUUUAAAGAAGAACGCUGGCAUCAGGUAGCUGAAUUGCCUUCCAGAAGAUGUAGAGCAGGAAUGGUGUACAUGGGAGGCAUGGUUUAUGCUGUUGGUGGUUUCAAUGGCUCUUUGAGAGUUCGUACAGUAGAUUCCUAUGAUCCAGUGAAGGACCAGUGGACAAGUGUUGCUAACAUGCAAGACAGGAGAAGCACACUGGGAGCAGCUGUAUUAAAUGGCCUUCUUUAUGCUGUGGGAGGAUUUGAUGGGAGUACAGGUUUGUCAUCAGUCGAAGUUUACAACUUAAAGACUAACGAGUGGUUUCAUGUAGCUCCAAUGAACACAAGAAGAAGUAGUGUUGGCGUAGGUGUUGUUGGAGGGAAGCUGUAUGCUGUUGGUGGCUACGACGGAGCGUCACGGCAGUGCCUUAGUUCAGUGGAAUGCUAUGAUGCCAAUUCCAAUGAGUGGAGCUAUGUCGCAGAAAUGAGCACGAGGCGGAGCGGAGCAGGUUUUUUCAACUCGCAGAAGUUGUUUUAUUUCUCUAGAUGCGUUCCCAUGGACUUUUUCAAGUCAAAUUCCAUGAUAUUAUUUUCUGCAUUUAUUUUUUAGUAAUUAAGUCACUUUUUUUGCCAAGUACUUAAUGGUGGUUUUUAGCAACACCCUUCAAGUACCUACUGGUGAUUGCAUUAAUGUGCUUCAUAAUGGAAAGAGAUAUUGCUACAAAUAAAUCUGCAUGGACUUCUAGUAUGCUCAGUAUAUGAUUAAUAAUUACCCCAACUUCUCAUCUUACCUUCCAUUAUUCUUUGUUAACUCUGAACAGUUUUUACCAUAUAAUAAUGUUUAAAUUAACUUCAAAUAAUUUCAAAAGAAAUCUAUCAAAGUACUAAAUUUGUUACUAAAAUUAAGAUAGUCUGUGAUACUUCCAUCAUAUCCUUACAAGAUCAACAAGCUGAUAACUCUUAUUACUAGAAGUCACAUUUCAAUUGUAUUUCUGAACUAAAACUUGGACGUUAAUAAAGGAAAUAUGAUACACUGUACCUCAAGAAAACACAGCUGACUUGUGAAACUUCUAGUAACUCAGAAGUUUGUGCUUCUUGGAAGCAAAUUCUGGAUUAAAAACUGGACAGAGUUGCACUAAGGGUACUGGAAAAUACUCCUGUCUAAUAUUGGCAAGUUUUGAGGAAAAUAUUUAUAUAAAAUGGGCAAGUUACAAGAAUCAUUAUAAGGACAAAUAGUGUCGGUGAGUUGUGACAAAGUUUCAUUUUGCAGUCUGCCUGCAUACACAUUUUGUUUCAGUGUUUGGGGUUUAUUUUUUGAUACUCUGUUUUUGCAAACUGUUGUUGUGCUUGUAGCCUAUUUAUACAGCAGAUGUUUUCAGAUUUUUUUUAAAUGUUGAAUUUCUUCUGCAACUCUGAAAUUUAGUUCCUUAAAUAUACUAACUACUGGGAUCUUCCUGCCCCUCUCCUCUCUUCCCUUGUUUCUGUGUUUGCUUACUCAACUCUCUUCUGCCUUUUACCUGGCCCAGUGAUUAAAAAAAAAACGGAGAGGAAAACUACACGUAGACAGUUAUUCUAGAUUCAUAUAAUUGAGUAAAAUAAUCAGCAUUCUUCUGUGACACUCUGUUAAAUACAUGAAAAAUUAUAUUUUUGCAUGGCAGAGGAGUGGGUGGUAAUGUGAAAAUCGUGACUAUUGAUUGAGCUUGACUGUAGAGGCCAAAUAGCCAAACCCACCAGAACUGUUUCAACUGGCAAUCAGUCCUGGUGGUGUUAUGGGGUCUAACUAAAGAUAAUUUUGUUCCUGUAUUCAACUUUUGGAUGUCUUGUCAUCUCAAAGAACUUGAGCUCAUCUCUGCUGUUCCUACUGCUUCAGCUUCACUCAAAAACAACUUUUCAGAGGUUAACCCUCAGUUACUCUUCUUUAGUACCCACUGCUUCUCAGUUGAUCAAUACGGGGACAGAUCUGUUUCCAGCAACAUAUUGGGAGGAGGAACUUCAGAUCCAGAUAUAGGCCAUUUGGGAGGGCUGAGAGAUAUAAGACAGGGUCCUGAAAAAUGGGCAGGAAAGAAAAAUAACAAAGAAAGGAGAACUCAGAAGACGGCAACAAGAGGAUACAGACGGAAGGAGCAAGAAAUAAGGUGUUGGUGUGUUAAACAAUUUAUUGUAUGCAGUAGGUGGUCAUGAUGGUCCUUUGGUAAGAAAAAGUGUUGAAGUGUUUGA